rnacentral:rRNA from 1 species
AACGAACGCUGGCGGCAUGCCUAACACAUGCAAGUCGAACGAGACCUUCGGAUCUAGUGGCGCACGGGUGCGUAACGCGUGGGAACCUGCCCUUAGGUUCGGAAUAACUCCCCGAAAGGGGUGCUAAUACCGGAUAAUGUCUUCGGACCAAAGAUUUAUCGCCUUUGGAUGGGCCCGCGUUGGAUUAGCUAGUUGGUAGGGUAAAAGCCUACCAAGGCGACGAUCCAUAGCUGGUCUGAGAGGAUGAUCAGCCACACUGGGACUGAGACACGGCCCAGACUCCUACGGGAGGCAGCAGUGGGGAAUAUUGGACAAUGGGCGAAAGCCUGAUCCAGCAAUGCCGCGUGAGUGAUGAAGGCCUUAGGGUUGUAAAGCUCUUUUACCCGGGAUGAUAAUGACAGUACCGGGAGAAUAAGCACCGGCUAACUCCGUG